UACAGAGGUCUCAAGCGUUGUUCGGAUUCAUUGGGCGUAAAGGGUGCGUAGGCGGCGUGGUAAGUCGGGUGUGAAAUCUCGGAGCUUAACUCCGAAGCUGCAUUCGAUACUGCCGUGCUUGAGGACUGGAGAGGAGACUGGAAUUUACGGUGUAGCGGUGAAAUGCGUAGAUAUCGUAAGGAAGACCAGUGGCGAAGGCGGGUCUCUGGACAGUUCCUGACGCUGGAGGCACGAAGGCCAGGGGGAGCAAAACGGG
rnacentral:rRNA from 1 species